rnacentral:rRNA from 1 species
CUGUAUGAAGUCGGAAUUGCUAGUAAUCGCGGAUCAGCAUGCCGCGGUGAAUACGUUCCCGGGCCUUGUACACACCGCCCGUCACACCAUGAGAGUUGGCAACACCCGAAGUCAGUAGCCUAACCGCAAGGGGGGCGCUGCCGAAGGUGGGGUUGAUGAUUGGGGUGAAGUCGUAACAAGGUAGC